rnacentral:rRNA from 1 species
GAUGAACGCUGGCGGCGUGCCUAACACAUGCAAGUCGAGCGAAUGGAUUAAGAGCUUGCUCUUAUGAAGUUAGCGGCGGACGGGUGAGUAACACGUGGGUAACCUGCCCAUAAGACUGGGAUAACUCCGGGAAACCGGGGCUAAUACCGGAUAACAUUUUGAACCGCAUGGUUCGAAAUUGAAAGGCGGAUUCGGCUGUCACUUAUGGAUGGACCCGCGUCGCAUUAGCUAGUUGGUGGGGUAACGGCUCACCAAGGCAACGAUGCGUAGCCGACCUGAGAGGGUGAUCGGCCACACUGGGACUGAGACACGGCCCAGACUCCUACGGGAGGCAGCAGUAGGGAAUCUUCCGCAAUGGACGAAAGUCUGACGGAGCAACGCCGCGUGAGUGAUGAAGGCUUUCGGGUCGUAAAACUCUGUUGUUAGGGAAGAACAAGUGCUAGUUGAAUAAGCUGGCACCUUGACGGUACCUAACCAGAAAGCCACGGCUAACUACGUGCCAGCCGCCGCGGUAA